rnacentral:rRNA from 1 species
GACGAACGCUGGCGGCGUGCUUAACACAUGCAAGUCGAACGGUAAGGCCCUUCGGGGUACACGAGUGGCGAACGGGUGAGUAACACGUGGGUGAUCUGCCCUGCACUUCGGGAUAAGCCUGGGAAACUGGGUCUAAUACCGGAUAGGACCACUGCCUGCAUGGGUGGUGGUGGAAAGCUUUUGCGGUGUGGGAUGGGCCCGCGGCCUAUCAGCUUGUUGGUGGGGUGAUGGCCUACCAAGGCGACGACGGGUAGCCGGCCUGAGAGGGUGACCGGCCACAGUGGGACUGUGAUACGGCCCAGACGCCUACGGGAGGCAGCAGUGGGGAAUAUUGCCCAAUGGGCGCAAGCCUGAUGCAGCGGCGCCGCGUGAGGGAUGACGGCCUUCGGGUUGUAAACCUCUUUCAGCACCGACGAAGCGCAAGUGACGGUAGGUGCAGAAGAAGGACCGGCCAACUACGUGCCAGCCGCCGCAGUAA